UACGGGGGGAGCAAGCGUUGUUCGGAUUUACUGGGCGUAAAGGGCGCGUAGGCGGCCACCGCAAGUCGACUGUGAAAUCUCCAGGCUUAACUCGGAAAGGUCAGCCGAUACUGCGGGGCUAGAGUGCAGAAGGGGCAACUGGAAUUCUCGGUGUAGCGGUGAAAUGCGUAGAUAUCGAGAGGAACACCUGCGGCGAAGGCGGGUUGCUGGGCUGACACUGACGCUGAUGCGCGAAAGCCAGGGGAGCGAACGGG
rnacentral:rRNA from 1 species